GGCGCCCUACUCACUGAGCCACAGGUGCCGCCCUGGACUUAUGUCUUUACUGGUCAUUCAAGUGGGGCAAAGGAAAUAUCCUUUUAAAACUCAGGCAAACUGGUGUCUGUCUUGUAUCCUUUCUUUUUUU